UACGUAGAGGGCAAGCGUUGUCCGGAAUCAUUGGGCGUAAAGAGCGUGUAGGCGGCCCGGUAAGUCCGCUGUGAAAGUCCAGGGCUCAACCCUGGGAUGCCGGUGGAUACUGUCGGGCUCGAGUCCGGAAGAGGAGUGUGGAAUUCCUGGUGUAGCGGUGAAAUGCGCAGAUAUCAGGAGGAACACUGGUGGCGAAGGCGGGUCUCUGGGCAACAACUGACGCUGAGGAGCGAAAGCGUGGGGAGCGAACAGG
rnacentral:rRNA from 1 species